rnacentral:siRNA from 1 species
CUUCAAUCUUUAGGUUCAUUUCAC